UUGGAUACUCGAGGUCCUCUGACUGAGUUUCCUAAACAAGAAAUGAUACUUCACAUGCCUGAAAAUGAAUAAUCUAGAAUAUUUCAUUAACAUUCAGCUGACCAGUUUUAAAUAAGAGCAGUUGGGAUUGCAUUCAAUUAAACUGGAGUCUAUAAGAGUGUCAUGAGGCAAGAUGGAGUUUCUUAUUGAAGGUGAAGGCCAAGCAAGACCAGCGACAGCAUCAUGACAGAGCAUCUCAUGGAACUAGUGAUCUACAAAAUACUUUGGAAGUCCUAGUACAGUUUGAGCUUGUGCAGAAAAUAUGGAGCAUUUUAAAUUGACCAAUCUUAAGUAAGUGAAGAAGACAAAGUUGGAAAGGAGUCAUGCAGCUGGAGGCUACAAGAUUCCGACCCUCCCUAAACUGCACCUAAGAUCAGUGCUUGAGAUAUUUUGCAGCCCCUGCACUUGAUGGAUCAGCUGGCACCACCCAGAUCAAUAAACUGGCUCAUCUGAUCUUCUGGACCCCCACCCAGGAAAUGAUUCAGCACAAGAAGACAGCUCUAACUCCCUAUGAUUUCAUCUCUGAC
ensembl:lncRNA novel transcript, antisense to AKAP6